CAGUCGCCGCGGGAAUACGAACCGUGCGAACGUUAUUCGGAAUUACUGGGCUUAAAGCGCGUGUAGGCGGGCCGCCACGUCGGUCGCUGAAAUCCCCCGGCUCAACCGGGGAAGUGGCAUCGAUACGAGCGGCCUUGAGGGGGGUAGGGGGAUCUGGAACUUCCGGUGGAGCGGUGAAAUGCGUUGAGAUCGGAAGGAACGCCCGUGGCGAAAGCGAGGUCCUGGACCCUUUCUGACGCUGAGACGCGAAAGCCAGGGGAGCGAACGGGAUUAGAUACCCCCGUAGUCCCUGUCUCUUAUU
rnacentral:rRNA from 1 species